UAAUACGCUAUACCCACCAUACCCUCUGUGACCUGUAUAAUGGACUCAUCUCAUAUUUGAAAAUAAAAUGAUGAAGCAGAAACCAGACCUGAUUCAGCGAUGGGCGCAGUGUCGCUGUUGGUUGCAGUUGUGCGAUUAUUUGCUACUGUGCCUGUGCAAAAUAUUCUGAAGAGCACCCACGGCGCCUGCGUUCCCCUGAGUGUACACACAGUGCUGCUGCAUACGGGAGAGCUGGCAAUACAACAGGACACGGUCUGAGGAGAGCACAAUAACAGCCCGUCUUGUGGCGUGUAAUGGGAGUGUCAGGGCAUGUCAGUACACACGGGCUGCGUUCCCAGGCACACAGCCGCUGUAACAGAAGCCAUGCUCGGACAUGUGCACCUGCCGAUAGUGGAAUGUAUUGAACCACCGACUCAUGGAAAAGAAGAAGAGAGACCGACAACUUGCAAAUAAGAGGAACUGAGAGUCUCUGCUCACUCAGGACUGUCUACUGAAACUGAACCACUGCAGAGAGCUGUCCAGAGACCUUACUCAUAGCCCAGUGCAAUCAGGGACUACAGACGCCUGUCUACACUCACCUACAGACUGCAGACAGGGACCGAGAGACUACAGACGCCUGUCUACUCUCACCUACAGACUGCAGACAGUGACCGAGAGACUACAGAGGAGUGCGUGAGCGGGGUGUCACAGACAAGCAUCCUGUGGCAGCGACACAACCUGUCACAUCCCCUCAGCCAGGUCGUACAUUGUCACCGGUUAUACAGUAUGCGGAGGGUAUAGCUAUUUGUAUGGAGGACAUACAGUAUAUAUAUAUCUGUAUACAUGUGUGUUUAUAUAUAUAUAUAUAUAUAUAUAUAUAUACAGUACAUACAGCAUGCGUGCUGGCGUGUUUAUACACGCCUAGGUCACCGACUUACAAGGACUGAUCUGAUAUCCAGGUUCCGCUUGGACCCAGUUAUUUCAUUGUUUCAUUUAGUCUAUAAUAAUUCUGUUGCAGUUUACAAGGGCUCCGCGUUCUACCACCUGCGAUAUUGUCUGGCGGAUCCGCUUUUUGCGAUGUCCUUCUCGCAGUCAGUGGUUCAGAUUUAUUUACGUUUGCAAAAGAAAUCCCUAAACACAAUGUAUAGUAAGAGUAUAGAUGAAAUAUAUAUUUAUGAGUAAAACAGCACUUGGGAAAUGCUACAUGAGCUCCGCUGCAUUGGAAACAUGGAGAGUUGCUAUGUAGAUCCGCACUUUAACUCGUGCAAGAGCCCACGGCCGAAGUGUCCUGCCAGGUAUCCGGUCACUGCAUGUAUAGCGCAGGACUAACGCAGGCAUCCCUGAGAUAAGUUAUCGCCCGGGCAAUACCAAGAGUUAAGCUGAUCAUUAUAAGGACAGGCCCAGCCCGUCUGCCAGCCACCCUCAGGCUGCGUCAAGCCCUAAUUUUCAUAUUUAGCACAAACUAGAAGUGGGAUCUCCUCGUCAUCAGACGGCAUUUUAGAGGAUUAGUAAAUUGGCCCGCAGUGCUUUUAGUUACCCCACCUCUACUAAUGGGCUGUGCAAUGUGCCUACUACUACCACAGACCAGUGUCCAGUCUCCGCUACUUCUCCUGUUUGGCCAUCCGCAGUCUCCGGCCUAAGACGUUAGUGUUGUAUCUUCCCGGGGACCUAGGUCGUGGGCCUGCUGUGCAGGAGGCCGGACUGAUGCAGCAGAGCAGAGGUGGGGGAUCUGCACUUUGGGCAUACUAGGACUUGUAGUUCUACAGAAGCUGAAGCUCCACCGUUAUUCCCACAAUAGAAGGAAGGUGGACGCAGUGGACCCGUGUCUCACCCAAACAUCUGUGCACCAGUCGCUAUGUCAGGGUGUACAGCUGCUGACAGCGGGCAUCUCAGCCCUCGCACAUGCUGAUGUACGCCAGGGAAGGGCUUUAUAGCUGUGUCCGACUCAUUAUCAACCCCUGUGGAGGGUAAGUUCUGUGUUCCCGGGAAAUCACGACUUAUAGUUCCUCCAUCUCUGACCUUAUAAAUGAUACAUGUUCUGGACGGCACCUUCUGGGUACUAUCGUGGCUGCGAUUCCAAUAUAUGUCAUUCAUAGACAUAUAAUGUAUCUUAGACCGGCAUAAUGUGACAGACACGCGGCUGGCAUCGGACUCUCUGCACUGGAUGGCACACGAUAGGGCGCUAUAACAUGGUUUCCCCAGCAAUCAGACCUCACCAGUGAUGGGCACAAUACAUUCCUCUUUCACCAGAGACUGUUUAGCUGCACAGUCUAUUAGCAGUCAUCUGCAAAGCAUGACACCAGGGCUUCCCAGCCUUAGCCCUCACGCUAACAGGCCAGGUUUUAAGGAUAGCCGUACUUGAGCACAUGUAGCUUAAAUAAUACCUCAGUUAUUUUGAUUUAACUGUAGCUCAAGCCUGGAUAUCACUAAAACCUGGACUGUUAGUGUACCUUGAGGACCGAGGUUGGGAAUGCCUGUCCUACACGGAGAAUAUGGAGGGUUUUUACCUCACGGGUCUGGCCCAGGACCUCUGCACCACAGGCCUCUGCCCCCUACAGUCUGGCGUUGGAGUAACUAUUAUAUUCUGACAAAUUGAUUGGCUGAUUACUAGAUUUAAUUCAGCACACCCAAUGGCUGACGCCUACAGUGUACAGACGCUGGACCCGCUUUACAUAAGAGAUCACAUCUGCCAUAUUGGUACUGAGAGCUUGCACAGUGCCUUCAGCAUGUCAGACUGUGUCCAUCACCCAGCCUAUUUCUGACAUUCUCUAUAGUAUCAUCUAUUACGGAAAUCUCUAUCUUCAAAGCAUAUCUUGAGAGCUGGCGAUGGUGAACAUUGAUUUGCUAAGUGAAGUUGGAUGCGCGCUGCCCCUACUGUCUGCCCUCAGGAAAUUCCUCCCCUUUCCCUUUUAUGAAAUUGAACUUUUGGGGUUUUCUCCCACAGUACUGGCCGGCUUAGCCUCCUAUAGCUGAGGGGACAACAAGGCGUUUCAAUGAUGUAGCAUAAAGUGCCGCAUCAGAAGUCUAGCUCAGAGCUGGGGCAGACAUCAUAUGUAGUUACAGACUGGAAAUGACCUUUGUGCAGCUCAGAACCUCCCUAAAGAUCUGCACUCCCCCCCUCCCAAUUCUCUCAUUCCAAUAACUCCGCAAAUAGAAUACUUGGCACCUGUUCCCGCUACCCAACUCUGCCCACAUCCCGUACCAACGUCUACUCCUACUCCGCCAACCCAUUCGGUGUGAAGGUGGGUGACUUCACCAAAGAGGAGUUUUGAUGCCUAUUGUACCCAUCGUUACUGAUGCAGAGCAUUGCCACGUGGGGAUUGGUCCAGACGGUACAAUACCACGGUCACUGGGUACAAGUUGUAGCUGCCUUCUCCCUAACGUAGGCGGUGCUUUAUCCAAUGUGCCGGGGAGUGAGAGGGGAUAUUCUACAUGAUAGACUGCGGAGAUUCUUACAGUAAGACACAGACUGGUUCUACGCUAACCCGGGAGUUCCUUACUGCUCUAUCACCCGGCCUACUGGAUGCCACAAGUCAUUCAUGUAAACACUGGAGUGCCUUACUGCCUUGUCCGAGAUGGAACAGGAGGGUGGAGCACAGACGCAUUUAUCAGAGAUAUAGGGGUAUAUGUACUAAAGUGAGGGUUUUGUAGAAGUGGAGAUGUUGCCCAUAGCAGCCAAUCAGUUUCUAGCUAUUAUCUUCUAGAAGGUGCUAGAUAAAUAAGUAGAAUCUGUUUGGUUGCUAUGGGCAACAUCUAAAAACCCCACACUUUAGUAAAUAUACGCCAUAGAGUGAUUUUGUUUUGCUGCAAAUAAUGUAUUUUUCAAAGAGAAUGUCCCAGUGUUUUCUUCAACGGAGAAAUUGUUGGAAGUUAAACUGGAAGAACUGUAACGAAAUUGGUCUUAAUAAAGAACUAAUUCCCACCA